GGACGGGGGAGGAUAUUACCACACCGAUCCAUGGAUCUCUAUAACUGCGAACGUUGUCGUGUUGUUGGGUGCUUUAGUUACUAGGGCUGCGUCGUGCCUUCGCGCGGCGUGCCGAGUAGCGCUACGCGGUACCACGUGCCGCCAGCCCUUUGACCGACACGCGCCGUGUCUCGCGACGCGACUACUUAUUUUAUUUUACCGCCGUGCUCUGCGCGUAGAAGAUUCGUUACCACGCGUCCUUAUGGCUGGACGCGGAAUCUUAUUUUACUACUGUACCUGAAAUAGACUGAAGGAACGUGAAGCAAAAAGGGGUGUGGCUCGGUGCUACAACUCGUAGUACUUGUUGCUGACCUCUCAAUAACAAUGUUGUAUUACAACUUUCAGCAACGGAUGUCUAGGUUCCCACAACGAUGAAGAACGCAGCGAAAUGCGAUACGUAAUGCGAAUUGCAAAACCUCGUGAAUCAUCAAAAUUUUGAACGCACAUUGCGCUACCGGGACAUGCCCGGUAGCAUGCUUAUCUGAGUGUCCGCGAUCACCACUCAGCCUCGUGUUGUUGAUUUGUCACAACGCGGGCGCUGGAAUAUGUCAUUGCACGCGUACCGCGUGCUAUGGUGAAAUGCGCGACAGGCCGUUACGCAGUAGCGGUUCGUGGCACGAUUUGUCGUGUUGCGUGCUAUCCGUGUAAUUUAUUACUACGGUUGUCUCUGGUAGAAGCACAGUACGUGCGUCCGAAAGAGUGCUGACCGUAGUGUAGAUUUUCGCUGAUGCGCGUGACGCUUCAUAACGCGAAAGUAAAUCUAUUUUCUUGUGUUUACUUCGGUUCGGAUCUCAGAUUAAGUAAGAAUACCCGCUGAUU
rnacentral:rRNA from 1 species